CUUCAUCCAGGCCUGUUCUCCAGCAGACUCAUGCUGGGAAGCUACUACUGAGUGGUUUAACAUCUCUGGAUUCUCUGACUUUCUUCAUGGCCCGUGUAUGGUCAAAACAGCAUCCCAAAGUCUACCUUACCCUGGCUGGGAAAAUGGCAUUGAAGGACCCGAACCUUUCCGGACAGCCGUUCUUGCCACCUAAGCUUGAUGCAGAGAAGGAGGAGUCCCUGAAUGAGGAGGAACCGGAGAGCUUCUAAAGGGAGGAAGUCUUUGA